UCGGAUUGUAGUCUGCAACCCGACUACAUGAAGCUGGAAUCGCUGGUAAUCGCAGGUCAGCAUACUGCGGUGAAUACGUUCCCGGGUCUUGUACACACCGCCCGUCACACCAUGGGAGCCGGAAAUGCCCGAAGCCAGUGACCCAACCUUAGGGAGGGAGCUGUCGAAGGUGGAGCCGGUAACUGGGGUGAAGUCGUAACAAGGUACC
rnacentral:rRNA from 1 species